AGAGGAAGUAAAAGUCGUAACAAGGUCUCCGUUGGUGAACCAGCGGAGGGAUCAUUACCGAGUUUACAACUCCCAAACCCCUGUGAACAUACCUAUACGUUGCCUCGGCGGAUCAGCCCGCGCCCCGUAAAACGGGACGGCCCGCCCGAGGACCCUAAACUCUGUUUUUAGUGGAACUUCUGAGUAAAACAAACAAAUAAAUCAAAACUUUCAACAACGGAUCUCUUGGUUCUGGCAUCGAUGAAGAACGCAGCAAAAUGCGAUAAGUAAUGUGAAUUGCAGAAUUCAGUGAAUCAUCGAAUCUUUGAACGCACAUUGCGCCCGCCAGUAUUCUGGCGGGCAUGCCUGUUCGAGCGUCAUUUCAACCCUCAAGCUCAGCUUGGUGUUGGGACUCGCGGUAACCCGCGUUCCCCAAAUCGAUUGGCGGUCACGUCGAGCUUCCAUAGCGUAGUAAUAAUACACCUCGUUACUGGUAAUCGUCGCGGCCACGCCGUAAAACCCCAACUUCUGAAUGUGA
rnacentral:rRNA from 1 species